rnacentral:tmRNA from 1 species
GCUUUGCCGCUAUAUUGGGGGUGCCGGUUCGCCGGCUAUGGAAAUAAAUGGCCGUCGCAAUAAACCAUUCGGACCCGGGGGCGGUACCCGGCGCCUCCACCAAAACCCAUCUAAGCCCCCUUCGGUGGCUUUUGGCGGGGGCGAAAUAGGAUCGACGAGGGCGUAAAGGGCGUGUUUUUUCUCGGUAUGGUUCCGCCGUUAUCGGGCUAAUGCAAUAGUUGCCAACGACAACUUUGCUCCGGUUGCUCAGGCUGCGUAACGCAGUUUGAAAGACCAUCUUAAAGUCCUAACGGGUUAAGCUCCGUUAGGCGGGGUUCGGAGGCACCUGGCAACAGAAGCCUCCA